GCAUUCGUAGCUCAACUGGAUAGAGCAUUUCUUUGCGGAAGAAAAGGUUGCAGGUUCGAGUCCUGCCGAGUGCA
rnacentral:tRNA from 1 species